CGCGGUUGGUGCGGCUCCGCCGGCCCAGAGUGACGUCAGCGACGCGGCUCCGCUCCACCACAAUCAAAGUUGUCGCUAACACGCCGGGAAAAGGGAAGAGCCGGUCCUCUCGCUCCGGCCCCGGGAGACCGCGACCCGCAGGCGUGAGGCGGCGUGAGCCGCGGCUUCAGGGUUGUCUACAUACCCCGCUGCGCGCCGUCGUUUUGUGCCUGCGGGAAAAGUUCGCGCCGUGCGCGCCUCCCGCCCGCGGCAACGGGGCAUGGCCGCAGCGGUCGCGUUCCCGGGACGGAUCUCGGCCGGGAGGAACGGCCGCAGCCUGCGGUCGCCGCUUCACUGCAGGUAAGGUCGGGUAGGAAAAAAGCAAAUAGCGACAAAGGUGCUUUGCUACAGCGGCCAUCGACAGCGCGAGAAGGCGACCCGUGUUCACGAGAAGACAUUUUCAAGAAACCGAACAGGUCAGAGAUUGCAGCGGAAGCGAGGGCCAACUUUUGUACUUCGUGAGAACAGGAUAAAUCCCAACAGAACCAGCGAAGCGAGGCAGGCAGGGAAGUUACCACCAUGCGGAAGCUCUGAGGUUUACGGGCUGUUGGCACAGGCACUUAAAAAAAAAAAAAGGAGGGGGAGUUAAGGAGCCUUGGCCUGAGCCAGCCCCGGCCUGGCCAUCGGGAAAGCGGAGGGGGCUGCGCUGCACAGCUGCAGCCCUUGGCGCUACGCACCUGGUAUCCUCUUUUUUCCUUUUUCUUGGGUUUUUUUUUUUUUCAUCGUCUCAAACUCAGCCGGGGCUGAAGUGCACUUCAAGAGCCAAGAACUGCUCUUUAUAAGCCGUAACAGCUGAGAUUAAGAUGACGCCGUAGCACAACAAACACCCGAGUUAGUUCAGGAUGAACUACAUAGAACAGCAUCUUCAGAACUCAGAAACGUUUGCUUCCUUUCCCCAGUCAACACACGCAUUUUGAAGUCAACAUUAUUUCUAAAUAGAGCUGAUCUCAGCAUAAAGAAAUAUGUGCAGGCAGAAAGAUGCCAUUGUUUUCCGUUUCCUCUUGAGCCACUGUGGCUGUGAUUUUCAUUGUGGCAGAGGAUCUUCAUUAGUAUUAACACAUGGGUAGACUUCAUAAAGCUGCUUCAUUAGCAGGGAAAAAAAAAAGCUUGGCAGCCGUGCUCUUUUUGCAUGAGAUGAGAAUGUCAGCCUUACCUCGGUCAUUUGUAACAUAAUAAGUGCAAGCACAAUGAUUGCAAUGCGGGAACACUGGGGGAAGGGCAAAAAUGCUGCAUAAUACAAAAACAAGAAAAAAAAAGGUGCUCAUUAUACAGUAAAACGUGCUAAAAAUUAGUGAAGAUGACAUCUCAUGAGACUUCAUGCUAAAUAAAUUAAUGUGCUGAUAUGUUUUUAAUUAUUAUUUUUGUACCAGCUUAUUUCAUUCCCAGGAUUCACAUCAGGCAGCAAAGGCUUGCUAGCAUUUAUUGAUUCCCCCCCCCCACCACAUUCCCAGAAUGCAGGCUUUAAUCAUUUCACUGCACCACACUCAGUAAUUUCAUUAAAAACUGGAACCUUCCAUCUUCAGAAAGGCAUUUAAUUUCAAUGACACACAAUUUCUCUUAGCAGCAAACCAUCUCAACAGUAAAAGCUGGCCUAAGGUUCAAAUGCAUAAUUUAGUCCUGAGUUCCCCAUGCUCUGCAUUCCUUUGAAGCUGUAAUUUGACUAACUACCUAAUAACUGUAAUAAGGACAAUGAUUUCCUUAUAAUAUGUUAUUAACCCAUAUUUAAUGAACUCAGAGGCCAAGCUCUGUACAUGUUUGGGUCAGUACCUCUCUAACCUCAAAAUUUUCUAACGAUGUUCUUAGGAAAAAAAAGCAUGGGAUAAGAGUGAGUAUAUACCUAUACUCAUGCCUGUUUUGCUCAAGAUAAUAAUAUUGUAACUUACAUAACAGGAUUCUACAACAAGAGAAACAAGCACUGCAUGAAGGUAACUAUCAAAUGUACUGCCUCAUGUAUAUAUUUUCCAUAUCUGCCUAUAACACUUCAAGUAAAUUCUCUUACCUACUCUUAUUGCCACUACUCUAAAUAACCAUUCUAAAUAUUUUUUUUUUUCCUAUGUGUAAGUCAAACUGUGUAGUACCUCGUGAGAAACAGAGGUGUGUUUGGGUAGCAUUACAGAAUCCUUGUUUCCUGUAACACUCAGCAGGACAGACUUGAAUCUGCUUGAAGACAGAACCACAGACCUGACAACAUAACUACUUCACAAAGUUCAGUCAACAAUCCAAAUUGAAACUACUGGGAUGCAUUUGAUGUCAAAAUCAAGUAUAUUAAUAAUAUCUAAUUGCACUGAAUAUUAAUUUUCCCUUCAGAAAACAGUUUAAAACAACUUUGGGUCACUACAGAGUUUUUUCUAAUCUACACCAAAAUGUUCUAAAAUUGUUUUUCCAUUGGACACAAAUAGAUUGGUUUUAAUACUGCAAAACUUACUGAGGUUUUGAAAUUCUAUUAACAGUAUUCUUCUAGUAAGAGUAUUUGUAGAAAAUUGUUGCUAGAGGAUGCUACUAAUGAAUUUCAACUGAUCAGCUAUUAGAUAAGAAGUGUUCCUAGGGUCCUGAUAUGUGCUUUCUGCAGCCAUAUUAAAGCUGUAAUUCUCAACUUGAAAAAAAUGCAAAUUCAAAUUGCGUCAUGUAUACUAUAUUAAAAAAAUAAGGUCUUGUUUGUUUUGAUUUCUAAGAUAAAUUAAUUGCAAAUGUAGUUAACCUCCCCAGUUUCUUGAGGCUUCCAGUGUAGGUGUCUUAAAUAUAAACACACAGGAAGAGUAUUCUUUGGUAGUUUCAUUCAUCUGUUCUUAUGCUUACCAACCUUAUAAAUAUUUCUUCAAUAGUUUCACCCACCAUUACAUUCAUAAACUUAACUGGUGAACUGGGAGAAAAGAAGUGAAGCAAGCUCCAUAUCCACAGGCAUAGCUACUCAUGUGUUUAUGAUUUUACUCACAUCACUAGGGCUACUAGCGUGCCAAAAGGUUGGCACAUACAUAAGUAUCUGGAAGGACGAACCCAAAAUUCCUAUAGGGCUAUUCAGGUGGAGUUUGCUUCUGGGGAGAUGGUAACAGCAAAGUGGUUUCAGAGGUUCCUCUCCUCUCCACCCCUAUUCACAGCUUUGCAGCACAGGUUUACAGCCCUCCGCUAGUGACCAUGCAGAUGUUGGUGCAGCCACACUCUGAGAUCAGUGAGCAAAGCAAAACUCUGCAUAAAAAUUCACACAUUCUGACUCUGUAAGGUAUCCUGUUCCAGUCAGACCUCAAAAAAAGAGUCUCUGGACAGCUAUGUGGUACUCCCUGCAGGUUAGAAAUUGUACUGUUAUGCUUCCACAAACAGAUGUCCUGCAGUAGGGUUCACAAAGGAUGUUUUUAUUAUAAACUAUGUUGAGGCAGAUUUGACAAACAGGAUCAGUAGAGAACUACCUUCAGAGAAAAAAAAAAUAAGUCAUCCUUACCUUGCUAAAACUGUUAACAUUUCUCUGAUAAAGGGCAGAAGCAUUUAACAUUCAACACAAACCACUGGAAAAAAAAAAAAGCAAAGGUCCAUUUUCAUUAGACUCUUUAUUAGUCCUUCCACUUCAAUGGACAAACUGUUUUAAAACUUUACAUUCAGAACUUCCAAAAAAAUUCUCAUUGUAGAUACUUUUGGCACCACAUAGCUCUUACUCUCACUCUGAGGACUAUUUAUACAAGUUAAUGUGUCCAAAUAUGCCUGACUUUCUACUCUUGCAUCUCUGGUUUUACUUUGUUAUCCUAGCACGGUCAAGGAAGAUCCGUCUCUCAAUACCAUAAUGAAAGAGGUUAAAGUGACAAAAAUCUUCUGAAAUCUUUAAAGCACAAACAAGUUUAUAUAAUAUAUAGUUUUAUUAUUUAUUGAAACAGUUGUACAAGGUCUGCAACUGGAUUGAGAUGUCCACCACUUUAAGUUGUUUCCAUUAAGAAAUGCUGCUCAACUGCAGAAAAUGGUUAUGUAGGCAGAUUCGUAAAGCAUUGCAAAGUUCGUGAGUCAAAUGAAUCCACAGAACAGCUGUAAAUGUUGGCAGCAACUAUAGAGUUAAGAUCAGGUGGUCUGAAUAAGAAAUUCCAAAGGAUCUAGACCGCAACUUAACACAUCCUAUCAAAGCCCAAAAGUCAUCCUUAGUGAGCUACUGCAUCAGCCCUAUAGUACACACAAAUUACUGAAUACACUUAUUAAAAAUCAUAUUCCUCAUAUACAUCUUCCUGUGAAGGAGACAAAAGCAGCUACAACAUGUUCACAAUGUUAUUAAGCCCUCAUCUAUUAGAGACUAUUUCUGCUCUAAGAGGAACAUGACACAUUCUCCCAAAUUCCUUUUAGCACUCUCAUGUACUUCAGUCUUACCUCCAUUCAGCUACAUCAGCAUCUUCAUGUCUUCUCACCUGCAAGCUCCAAGUCUGAAUAAAGUGUUUUUGUAGAUGUAUUUAACCAGUAAGAACAGGAAAUGUCAGUUCAUUCUAAACAAUUAGACUUCUAACCUUCUAAAAGUAGAUUUAAAGAAGUACAAUCUUCAAUAUGUCUCCUCUGUACUAAUGUUCUCAUUCCAUUCAUAGUUAAAAUAUAGAGCUCUGCUUCAUACUCUGAUCCAGUGGUUUUCUUUCUCAGUACUGGAGCGCUUUCAACUUCAAGUUGCUUGAAUGUAAUUCUAAAUCCUGAAGUGUUUCUAUUUGACUCAGAGAAAACCCAUCAUCUCCACCAAUAGUAAUGUCAGCAACUAAGGCAUUGACAAAGUCUUUUAUUAGCAUGUCAGCUCACACUGUGCUAUCAACAUUCACAAAAUAAAGUUAUCAAAAGAAAUACAUAAAACCAAAACAUUUUUGGGUUUUCUUUUGCAUUUCUUUUUUCUUAAGUCUUAUAAUCUUACAAAUCCAGCCCACUUCUUUCCAAAAAUGAGGUGUGCUGGUUUUUGUUUUGUUUCAGCUGUUUUAAUAUCUGCAGUAUUUCCACUUCCUGAUGUAACUCUGUUGAAUAGCUCACUGAAUUACUCCAUUGGUUUGCUUUAUCCACAGCUCUCUUUGUUCAGGACCAAAAAAAUCAAAGCCACAUUUUCUCUGACCAAGGUAGUGUUCUCCUUUUUUCCUGUUUUUUAGUCACAAGGGUUCAGAAAAGACUGCCUCAAAAUUCAGUGUGAAUCUGCAGUAAUUACACCCACAAGUGAAAAGAAAUGCUUUCAGGAGAGUACCGCAGCUGUUACGUAGCAGACAUCAAAAUUACACAAUUGUUCAGGACAGGAAGUGAUGGCAUCUCUCAUUAAACUAAAACUAAACAGGAAAUAACUUUACAUAAUUAGCCAACUUGAAAUCUGGCCAGGUCAUAGGGAUUAAGAACUCUUAGAAAAGUUCGGCUCACUCUGUGUUAAUUGGCCAUGAGCAUGAUUUCAAAGCAGAGAACAUUCCAUACUGCAUAUGAUGUAGAGUACACACCAAAAAAAAAAGGUUAUAUAUGUACAAACUGACAAAAUAAGCUUCUUUUCAGCUACUAAAGGUACGUUAGCUUAAGAUUGAAGGUUUAAAUAGUUCUGUUCCUAACAUACAUUUUAGUUGGCUACCAUUAAGUUACACUAACUAAUCUUCAGCAUUUUAAAGUACAAUGAAGAAUUUCUUUCCAACACUUUCAAUACCACAAUAGAAACAACUGUACUUUUAUACCAUUUCUUAGAUAGACACAACUUAACCUAUUUUUAUUUAUUAAAGAUCUCUAGGUUGUGCAAAACUUUCAGUUUUGAGGCACAAACUAAUGUUCACUUAAGCAGUUCAGAUUAUUAGGCUUCUAGCUUCUUUAAGUGUGUACUGAUUGUUUGUAAAUAAUGUUCUAAAGACAUUAAAAUAUAAAAGUGUGUUUACAAUAACUUGAUGAUGUACCCAUAAAUUAAAAAAAAGCAACACAAACCAAUAACUGCAAGAAAGCAAACCUGGUGGGUGAAUUGAAUUACGUUGCUAAGAUCAUGUCCAUGAAGAAGGAAAAAUUGAAAAGUAGGCUAAGACACCAUUCAUCUAAGAAACACAUGUAAUUUGAUCAAAUUAAUUCCUAAUAUCUUUCAGUACAAAAUUUGCUAUUAACUACAUCUUUUCAGAAAGUGAUUUGACUUAACCUGAUAUUUCAUCACUGCAGAUAACUUGACUGAUUCAAUUAAAUAUGGCAGAUACAAUAUCUGGCAGAGUAAUUUAAGAAAAAGUAUCCAAUACAUCAAAGUGCUCUGACUCAUCUAUUUAGCCACUGGGAUAAUGACUUUUCCAAAUAAAUCGUUAAGUGAAAGAAAUACGGAAGACAUGGAUCUGAUUUCCAACAACCAAUUAAUAUAUUUCAUUUUCCUGUAUAUCACAAAUACUAUUCUUGACAAGAAAAAUAGAUUCAAAGAUAAAUUAGACAUCCUUAGAAGUUACACCUUUUAUUUUUCAUUGCCUCAUAGUCAGUAAUUUCUAGAAAUCUAUAAACUGCUAAUAAUGACAUUCUCUUUAUAGAUUAGGAUUGGGGUAGAUAAGACCUGAAAUUAUAAGCUUGUGAUUCUAGUUCUAAGUCCUCCUAAAUUCUACCUUCCCAACAGCAGACAGAAACAUUUAAAGAGAUCUGUUGUAAGUUCAGUUGCAUAAGUCAGUAAGGAAUUACAUCUAAGAUCCAGAAACUGAUUGUUUCAUAGAAACAUAGUUUACAAGAACACAUUCUAGAAGACAUCAGAAUCAUUCUUCUCCCGUGUAAUACUAUACUGACGUAAUUUUUUUUUAAUCUGUUUGUUCUCUCUUUCAUGAAUUCUUGUUUACCUAUUAUUUCUUAAUUUGACUACAUUUUCUCCAUCAUCAGUUUGAUUUCUCAACACUACAUAUUCAUUUAAAAAGCCCACAACCACCACAUGUGGCACAGCAUGGCCUAAACACAGAUCAAACUUCUUUCAGGAAUGCAGAGAAUUGAGCUGCACAUUUAGAAUUUGAAUAUUUUUCACGUUUCUGAAACGAUUGAAACAUCAAGGAUGCCUCUCACUGUCUUGUUUAUCAAAUAACUAGCCCUCUUUAAUAUGAAAGCAAGCACAGAAAGGAUCAUCUCCUCACUAGUGCAAGUUUAGAAUAAUGUAUCUUGGAGUAGAUACCAUUUAGACUUAUUAUAUAUUUGGAGAGUUUUGUUAGGCAAAAAAAUCAUAACAAGCAGCUACUUACUUCGGCAACAAAACUCACAGCCUGGCACAAAUAUACAGAUAACUAAAAACUCCCAAUCUUGGCCUUUCUGCUACCACCUCCCUUCUCUCUCUCCCCUCAGAAUACACCAGCUUCCUUUGCCACAUGUUAAAACUGUGCACAUUAAUUACCAUACCCUACAUACAGCUUUAGCAAAACUCAGUGACAAAACCUUGCCCAAAGCACUUGCUGGCAUGGUGAAGCAAUGAAUUACAGUAGUUCUGCAAAGCUACGCAAGAAUUCUCCUACAUGGAGAAAAGGUAGAGCAUUCAAAAUUAUAGACUAUAAUGGAAAUGGUUCUCAAAUUAAGUACAUUAUUGUUGUUAAUUAAGUAUGCAAAUCUCAGCUUCUAGAAGUUACCAGUAAGGAUUCCUUUGAUGCUUCUCACAACAUCAUUAUUUAAAAUAAAGAGUAUUUUUAAUUAAAAAAAGAUUUCCAUUCUUGGAUUUCAACAUAAAAUCUUAUUUACCAAAUAUAAAUUAAUACAGACGUACAACAAAGAGUCACAUUCAUUCAUAAGAUACCAAAGUUAAAAAUAAUCUCUAUGGUUCCCCCAGCAUUCUAUUAGCCUGAAUAUACCAAAUUCAACCUCCUCUUCUGAAAUACUCAAGAAAUUAUGAAGAAAACACGUAUUUUAGACUAAAAAGUGAAACAUCUGUACAGUUAACUGCUGGAUUCAGCAGCGUUUCCCUGAUCUUGACAUACUGAUGGCCUUUGGCCCACAUUCAGCCUUGGUUUUGACUUCUGGCUGCUGCAGAUGAUGCACAGCCCUGGCCCACUUCAGGUUUCCACAAUCUGACACCAAUGCAUGCAAAGCAUUGAGCCAAGAAUACCUCAGCUCCUUCCCUGUGUGCCUCUUCCCUUCCACAGAUCAGGACAGGCCUCACUGCAAGCUCAGAUGAAGCUGAAGGCACCUCCUCCAGCUGGCCACCUCUGGUGCCAGGCCUCACACCACAGCUGAGCCUCACCACUUGGUCCCAGCACUUUACACCAGGCCCAACCCAGAAGGCUGAGGGGCAGGGUGGGCUCAGACCAGCCAAACUCCCUUCUGACUGGCCACCCAGUUGUACCCACAGGGGCUGGCCAGGCUUAGUUUAAAAUCCCCUGCUCUCACAUUCAUCAUUAAACCACAGUUCUGCUUGAAGUUAGAUUUUGCUGACAUAAGACAGCCAGCAGAUGACCUCAUACAAAGAUCAUGAUUACACAAUCAAAAUUCCUCACCUGCUCACUCACUGGCAAAGAUUUUUUUAAAUACAGUGUAAUCCCAACAUGAGUGCCUUUAUUUAAAAGGUACACAGGUGUUAAGUAGGGCAAUGUUUUCAAAUGAGUCAAUUUAUGUACAUAAAAAGCAUUGGGCAACAGCAAGUUAAGUGUUUAAGGCAAAAAUUCAUGAACAUAUAGAAUAGGAAAUUACAUAUUUUCAUUCAGAGAAUGAAGGGCAGACAGCUGAAGAAAGGGGCAGCCGUCACCACAGCUUAGAUGGAACACAAGACUCAGGUCUUCAUCAGCCUUGUGUUUUGUUGCUGUAUGAAAACACGUUAAGACUGCAAAGUCAGACUCCACAAGUUCAGAAGCAAACAGAACUAAAGCUGCACACGUGACAUUCAUUUGGCCACCUUGCACACAUGAGCUGAUCAGUCUGGGGCAGUGCAGUGGGAGCUGGACUCAAGGAAGGCUGUUGUCUGCUGAGUCUCUGCUGCAGGUGCUGGAGAACAGAAUUAAUGAAAUAUUGAGCUCUUGGUGUUUAAGGAAAACAAACACCUCACAGGAGAACAGGCUUCUAUCUUUACCUCUGACAUGAAAGGUGUUUUCUUAAACUAAGCUUUCAGAUACAGUCAGUAACUAGUCUUCAUUACCAAAAUACACCAUUUGAGCACCUGGUUUCCUGAAUUACAGAGCGCUCACAACUGAAAUGGACCUGAAUUUAGAGCUGUUAUGAGCAAAGAUCAAAGAGGUAUAGAGGUCAUCCUUUUGAGAACACACCUCCCUUGCAGUCUGUGUGUCAGGCGUGGGCUCAUCCACUCCUGUGGUUUUACAACGAAUCUCUACUAAAUCGUUAGCAUUUGGUAAACGUUUAUAUUAGACCAACAUACAACACAAUUGGUCUUACACAAUUAUUCCCUUUUCAAGUCUGAAGGAAGGUCAUAACUAGGAAAUGGCAGAAGAGCUGAAAGGGAACUUGACUGGAAAAGCAGCAGGAGGCAGCUGUGUACAGGGAUGAAGGCAGAAUUUUGGCAGACAAAAACAAGUACUUCUGGGAGCAAUGGCUUUCUGAUGUUAAUUCUCAAAAUGAACAAAGGCAUGCCAGGAAAAUCUUGGUGUUUCACAGAACCACAGGGGUUGGAAGGGACCUGAAGAGACCAUCAAGUCCAAUCCCUCAGCUAAAGCAUGUACCCACACAACAGAUCACAGAGGUCAUUGCCCAGUUGGGUCCUGAGUAUCUCCAUAGGAGACUCCACUACCUCUCUGGGCAACCUGUUCCAGAGCUCCCUCACCCUUACCAUAAUGAAGUUCCCCUGCAUGUUAGUACAGUAACUUCCUAUGUACAAGUUUUAGGCCAUUACUCCUUGUCCUAUUGCUGUGUACUACUGAAAAGAACCUGGACUCAUCCUUUUGCCUUAUACAUCCCUUUAGAUAUUUAUAAACAUUUAUCAGAUCCCAUCUCAGUCUCCUUUUCCCCAGGCUGAACAGAUGCAGGUCACUCAGCCUUUCUUCAUAUGGGAGAUGCUCCAGGCCCAUCAUCUUUGUGGCCCUCCACUGGAGGCUUUCUAGGAGAUCAGUCUUUUUCUGAACACAGAGUAAACAUGGCCUCAAAAGGGCAGAGUAGAUGAAAGUUGUUGAUAAAGACAAAAGCUCCUCAUGAGUUUUUGAGGUUGUUCUUGUUCUUUACUUGGACAAUAAUCACAUUUUCUGUUUACUUUAGUCUUGGUAGAAAAUGCUAUUCAGAUUCUUCUAAGGCCCUUGUGAGUGCAAGGCUUUGAACAUCCAUUCUAGCUGGGCUGUAGGUGCUUUUGAAAAUCCUGUGUGAGUCUUCAGAUGGUCCUGGACUUUUGGAAGCCUAGAACUACUGCCUACAUAAUUUUUGAUGAGAUUGCUGGGAGGGGGUGAUACAAAAUUUCAGUCCUCCUAUUCUGGCCAAGGGAGUUUUUCUUUCCUGUUUCCUUCUUCUCCUUUUCCUUUCCCCUUCUCAUUUCCUCUUCCUAUUUCCUUUCCCAUUAUUAAAUAUUUGUCUUCAGGACCACAGUCAAACUUAAUUGCAUUUAUUUGUUUUGGAAAAUUGCUUAGAUGAUUGUUUACCACAAAGUAAACAUUAUACUUAACUCUUAUUUUGGAGUUGACAAUGAUAAAUACAGGCUGAUUCUUUUAAAGCAGUACUGUAUUUAUAUUAAGCUCUAACUUGCAGCUCUCAGAGUUUGGUGAACAUGGAAAUAAAAUACUGUGUUCUCUUUCCCUGCAUUCUCUCUCCAUUUGAAGCUGCCAGUCAUGCUUAUAUAUUAAAGACAAAAAAUAGUUUAUUAUUUUGAUAUCAAAUAGAAGAUAGAGUGCUUCAACUAACUCCACGAAUAUGCCUUAGAUGUUGAGAACAUAGUUUUUCUGCAAGUAUUUAUUCUUUACCUUAUUAAGUGACAAGGCACAGGCUAAAUGACACCUUCUGCACAAUACACAUUCUAAAUUAAGUCAGUAUUAUUAUCACAGGUACAUCACUAUAUUAGCAUGAGGGUAUUAUAAAUCUGCCCAGAAAAUAGAAAUAGUUACCAUUUAAAAAAAAGUAACUCUUUCCUCCUCUUUGAAGCUAGAUUCAAAUUUGGGAUUUUAAUUUCACAGGCAAGCAAUAAUCCACAAUUAAAUUCACUCUUCUGCAAAUGCAAACACUUUCCUUACCAGUUCUAAUAUUAAGUUUCAGACAAUGUUACUCAUUCAGCAAUGUGCUAAACUCUUAUUAUAGCCUGAGCAAAGACCGAUGAUGUUGAAGUGAAGUUCAAAAGCCCAUGAUAGGUUUCAAAGCCAACUGAUGCUCAGUUGGUUGAACCCAGAAGGCAAAAAGAAAAUAGCAUCAAGCUUCAUGAUUGUAACUGGAUCAAAAGUCCCUACUACAUUGUAAAAGGAACCUUUAACACUGAUAAUGACAUACAAGCAAAUGAAACCAGAACUUGCCUGCAGCUAUGUGGGUGCAAGCCUUACUUUCCUAGCAGAAAAGGACUGCAUUUAUUAAAAGACACAAUGGACAUACUCAAAAAUUAAAGAGGGUAACUUACCCUCAAUAUAUAUGCUCAGCCAUUUCCACAAUGAUAAAAAGUGACCUUGUCCUUUUCACGUUGCACUCAGAAAGAAUGUAUAAAUUACACCACAAAACUGAAUAAUAACUUGCAACACAGCAAUUUCCCAAAAGGUAUUAAAAAGCAGUUUGAAAGCAGUAGCACUGGAGUGGUACAGUUUGUCUUGGCUUGUGGUCUUACCCCUCUUUAUAUAUCACUGAGAUACAGUUAAUCAAUUAAAAAAAUAAUUUAUAACAUUUCUUCAAUGUAUAGCUUUCCAGAGCAAAGGCUACUUACAAGAAAGGUUUUCACCACAAGAGAAAUAAGAAGGGUACAUUGAUAUCAGUUCUUACUGUAGCACAAACUUUAACUUCACCAGCUGGUGUCACUUUGUUAACUAAUGGCAGUAAACCGUUACAAGGGGGGAAAAUGAUGGUGCAUCACAGAGGGACUUGCAUGCUGUGAUAAACGUGAAGAGAAAUAGCAUUAUGUGGUUAUGCAAUUGACUCAUUGAGCACGGAGUAUGCUUCAAAUAGCAACUUUCCUCUCUUAUGUAUAGAUUAUUUGUACAUUAAUUCUUGUAACGUUUUUAUUUUGUUAGUGUACUAUUGCUUUUCUUUCCUCCUGGGAGAUGACAUUUUUGGCAGUGCAUAUUUUCAGUAAAACCAAAGAAAUAACACCAAAACAGUGUUAUUUACACCCACACAUCUAGAACUCUCUCCUUAUUUGUUUUUGGCUAUAUUAUUGUUCUCAUAUAAAAAUUAAGAACUAACUGCAUUUUACACAGGAUUUGUUUUUAAAUAUCUCUACUACAUCACUUAAAACUUUAUACGAGCUUGUAUUUUUCAUUAUGAGGAGUCAAAAUUUUAUUAGCACAAUAUGGUAUGCUAUAAUGGAAACUGUAUACUAUGAUCUUGUCAUUCUCAUUCAGCACUACCAAUCCAUUUUGGGAGCAGAACUGAGCAUCUGUUUGACAACAUACAGCAAGCAUGUUACCAUUUAAAUAAAAAGAAACAGCAUUAACUCUGAUAUAGUGAGACAAUACUCAUACUUCCCAAACCAGUAUAAGGACUACAAUAUAAGGAGUACUAAAGUAUCAGUAUUUUUAAGUAAUAAAUAAUGAUCUAGAACAUGUAAUCACAAAUGUUGAAGACCUUGAUUUUAGGUGUAGCUUGAGAAACUAGUGGCCUACUAUCUGCAGAAGUGCUCUACUUCUCUUCACUAUACAAGACAUUGGUACAGGAGAUAAUUGAAGAAAAGAAUGCUGUCUGCUGAAUUGGUCAAAAUUUGUUCCCCAGGAUAACUCUAUUAAAAGAAUCUUAAAAAUACACUUAUAUCUUUAACUGCUUGCUUCUUAACUGGCUUUGUAUUGCUUUCCUGUACACACAAAAUAAGCUCCAGCCUUCAAAUGCAUUAUGACCCUUUUCUUAGAGCAAUGUCUAUCUAUAAUAUGAUCAAAGUUAUAGCAAUAACGAUAGAGUGACACAGCCUUGUACUACAACAAAUGGAAACAGACCCAAAUACAACAGCAACAAGUAAAUAAACAAAGGAAGAAAAAAUACAUACCUUCAGAAAGUCUCAGACACACAGAGAGCCCCACAAAGAUACCCUUGCCUCCACUGCCAACCCUUAAAUGAGAUCUGGGAAGGGGUGGAUCCUGGCUCCACCCCUUCUGGUCACUCAGGUACACGGCAUGCACCUGAACUCCCCUGGAUCGGCCCUGCCUUCCCACCAGGUGCUCAAUCAUUGCUGCAAGCCAUGAGCAAGCAUUUCUGCUAUACUCUUAUUAUGUGAAAUAUGCUCUCAUUGUCUACUGUUCUAUUUCCUGUCUAUUUAUCUUAUAUAGUGUUUAAGGCCUUCUUUUUGUUGUUAGGCACAGCAGCUAGUUCAAAAAAGAUCUCAGCUAUGUGUGCUUCCUGCUAGGGAUGAUAAGAGAAACUCACUUGAUAAUGCUUAGAAAGGGAAGGAAAAAGUGGAUUUUGGAUGAGGCUUUCAUCAAUACGUUUACACACUCUGAUGUUUCAAUGGGCCUUUUAUUUUCAAAAUAAUCUGCUAGAUGUGUGUACGGGAACUGUUGAGUCAUAGCCUGAACCACUGAUAGAGCACCUGGGGAAGGACCCGAUCAGCCCUGGGAGCACAGUUGAAGGCAAUGCAGCUGUGUGACCAGAAGGGGUGGAGCCUGGCUGCGCCUCUCUUAGUCCCCAUUUCAGGGCUGGCUGCCACUGGGGAAGGAUAUUUUCCUGGAGAUCUCUUCUUGGGGAAGCUUUCCCUUGUAAACCUGGAAUCUUUUGAUAUGGGUAAGUAAUUUUCUUCACAGCAUCUUUCUUUUGUGCCUUUCGUGUUCAUCUGUCUGAUUGCUACUAGUAAAGAAAGCAAGGUCUUUUCUUUUGCUUUCAUGGGUGCUUAAUUAUUUGUAUCCUUUUUCUGUAUAACAGCUUCCAGUUACAGAACCCAUAUUCCUCACUGUCUAGGUGAUGUUGUAAUGUAACAAAAAAUACAAGGCAGUUUCCGCAUGAAGGUGCUGAACUUGAUUUUUUUUUUUUCGCUUUCUAGAUAAGAACUCAGUUGACUACAGAAAGCUGCAGUGAUUGUACUUAAUACCUAACUCUUUUUAUACAUCCAAGUUGUAGGUUGUGUUUUUCAUGAUAAUAUUACUUAAGAAUGAUGUGGCACUUCUCUGUUUAGCCUAAACUGGGUGUUUUCUUAUUUUCUGUGCUCUGAGUAUUUACAUUUGUUUCCUUAAUAUUCUUCAUGUGUUCCAACAUGAAUGGCCGUGUUAAAGUUUCAAGGCAGCUUACAAAGGGUUUACCCAAACUUUCUGCAGUUAGUUCUAUAAUAUUUUGAGGAUAGUCAUUUGUUUUGUUAUAACAUAGCUGACACUUGAUCUCAUUUAUUAUUAAGUCAAAGGCUACUUAGACACCAAUUCCUUUAUAUUAAUGCCUUAAAUACAGAAUUGAAUUUAAGGCUGUGUUUCCUUUGUAUGCUUAAGUUGAUUUACUGGGUAACCGGAGAAAAAAGGGAAAUCCCAUUCAUUUUACAUCUCCAUUCUUUUGACUUUCAAACAUCUACUUGUCCUUAAGGCAUACUGUGACUUUAUUUCAGUUAAAGUCAUAAUGAAAUACUACCCCCCACCAAGAUGUGUUGUUUUUAUCAAUUAAGUGAUACAAAUUCACACACACAAAAAUCAUAGAGAAUGGGAGCCUAUGUAAAGGAAGGCUGUAAUCUUUGACUAUCCAUUAGUGGAGUAACAACACUAAAGGAGGAGUGAGGAAGGGGCAAAGGUAUGAGCAAGUGGAAAAGGCAAUGAGACUACCUUUGGGUAGUCACGAGCUCAGCUGUUUAAGCCUAAGUACAGAAAACUAAGUCUGUAAAUAGUAAAAAGCAUAUGCCCUGAUCUAGUCCUUACACCAGAACAUCACUACCCUGCACAAGUAUUUGUACCUUUGAAUAGGCUUGUUGCUAGGUGGGAAGAAAGGGCUGUUAAUGCUGAUAGUGCAGAUCAGUUUGUGGUACCACUGAGUGACACUUUGUAGACACCUUGAAGAUGGGAGCAUUCUCUUCUCCUUGCUGAACAGCCCCAACUCUCUGUCUGUCCUCAUGGGGAAAGCGUUUCAUCCCUUGGAUCAUUGGACCAUUAUUAUGAGUGUAAUGAGUGAGAAGCAUGUGGACUCUGAUUGCAGUGGUACUUAAUCCCCAAACUUAUACUUAAAUCCUGUUUGUUUCCUACUCAAUUCAGUAUCUGCUGAAGCAAGAUAGCUUUUGGAUUUAGCUCAUUGCAAAUUCACAUUAAGUUCUGAAAGAAAUUUCAUUAGCAAACCAUCCUUACUCUGUUCAAGAUCAGUUUUAAUCUUAAGGCUACUAAGAGCAUCAAUCUUCAUUCUUCUUUCACUAACAAUAUUGCAAACAAUGGUUUCUGGAGACUGUGAUCUCUGACCUUCAUCUGCAUUUAACAACAGCUUAACUUCCACAUUUUGUUCAGCACAGCAUUCACAAGAAAGUCUUCUAAAUCAGCCCCUGCCAGCUGCUAUUCAGUAUGUAAGACCUACUCUUAUUGUAAAAACUUUUUCC
rnacentral:lncRNA from 1 species